GAAGCUUUACAGAAGCUUCUGUAAAGCUUCUGUGAAGCUUCUGUAAAGCUUCUGUAAAGCUUCUGUGAAGUUUCUGUGAAGCUUCUGUGAAACUUCGAGCCUAAGGAGCUGGCUCCGAGCCUAGGGAGUAUAAGAUUGAAUCAUUGAAUUCUAAGAGUGAAUCAUUGAAUCAUAAAAGUGAUUCAUUGAAUCCUAAGAUUGAAUCAUUGAAUCGUAAGAUUGAAUCAUUGAAUCCUAAGAGUGAAUCAUUGAAUACUAAGAGUGAAUCAUUGAAUCAUUGAAUAGUAAGAUUGAAUUAUUGAAUCCUAAGAGUGAAUCAUUGAAUCCUAAGAGUGAAUCAUUGAAUCAUAAGAUUGAAUAAUUGAAUACUAAGAUUGAAUCAUUGAAUAGUAAUAUUGAAUCAUUGAAUCAUAAGAGUGAAUCAUUGAAUCAUAAGAUUGAAUCAUUGAAUCAUAAGAUUGAAUCGUUGAAUCAUAAGAGUGAAUCAUUGAAUCAUAAGAGUGAAUCAUUGAAUCAUAAGAGUGAAUCAUUGAAUCCUAAAGCCAUUCGAGGAUGAUAAGGAAGUUAAGAUAAGGAUAAGGAAGAUAAGAAGAUAAAAUUAAGAAGAUAAGAUAAGGAUAAGGAAGAUAAAAAGAUAAAGAUAAGGAAGAUAAAGAUAAAGAUAAAGAAGAUAAAAAGAUAAAGAUAAGGAGGAUAAAGAUAAGGAAGAUAAAGAUAAGGAAGAUAAAAAGGUAAAGAUAAGGAAGAUAAAGAUAAGGAAGAUAAAGAUAAGGAAGAUAAAAAGAUAAAGAUAAGGCUAAGGAAGAUAAGGAGAAGGAAGAUAAAGAUAAGGAUAAGGAAGAUAAAGAUAAGGAUAAGGAAGAUAAGAAGAUGAAGAUAAGGGUCGAUGUAGGGUCGAUGUAGGGUCGAUGUAGGGUCGAUGUGGGGUCGAUGUGGGGUCGAUGUGGGGUCGAUG